ACCAAGGAGUCUAACAUGUGCGCGAGCCGCGGGGCAGUACGAAACCCGUAAGGCGAAAUGAAGGUGAACGCCGGCGCGGUCCGGCGGAGGUUGGAUCCCGUCCCGUCGGGGCGGGCGCACUACCGGCCGAUCUUCUCCGCCCUGUCGGCGAGGUCGAGCGAGAGCGUGCAAGUCGGGACCCGAAAGAUGGUGAACUAUGCCUGAGGAGGUUGAAGCCAGAGGAAACUCUGGUGGAGGACCGUAGCGAUUCUGACGUGCAAAUCGAUCGUCAAAUUUGGGUAUAGGGGCGAAAGACUAAUCGAACCGUCUAGUAGCUGGUUCCCUUCGAAGUUUCCCUCAGGAUAGCUGGCGCUCUGUCGCAGUUUUAUCUGGUAAAGCGAAUGAUUAGAGGUCUUGGGGGCGAAACGCCCUCAACCUAUUCUCAAACUUUAAAUUGGUAAGAAGCCCGACUCACUCGUUUGGAGCCGGGCAUGGAAUGCGAGUGCCAAGUGGGCCACUCUUGGUAGGCAGGACUGGCGAUGCGGGAUGAACCGAA
rnacentral:ncRNA from 1 species